rnacentral:rRNA from 1 species
AUUGAACGCUGGCGGCAUGCUUUACACAUGCAAGUCGAACGGUAACAGGCCUUCGGGUGCUGACGAGUGGCGAACGGGUGAGUAAUGUAUCGGAACGUACCCAGAGGUGGGGGAUAACGCAGCGAAAGCUGUGCUAAUACCGCAUGUGAUCUGAGGAUGAAAGCGGGGGACCGAGCAGCAAUGUUUGGCCUCGCGCCUUUGGAGCGGCCGAUGUCGGAUUAGCUAGUUGGUGGGGUAAAGGCCUACCAAGGCGACGAUCCGUAGCUGGUCUGAGAGGACGACCAGCCACACUGGGACUGAGACACGGCCCAGACUCCUACGGGAGGCAGCAGUGGGGAAUUUUGGACAAUGGGCGCAAGCCUGAUCCAGCAAUGCCGCGUGCGGGAAGAAGGCCUUCGGGUUGUAAACCGCUUUUGGCAGGAACGAAACGGUGUCCGCUAAUACCGGGCGCUAAUGACGGUACCUGCAGAAUAAGCACCGGCUAACUACGUG